UUAAUCCCCUUGUGCUAUUAUUCCCCCUCCAUCUUAAUCUCCUUGUGCUAUUAUUCCCCCUCCAUCUUAAUCGCCUUGUGCCAUUAUUCCCCCCCCCUUCCUCUGAUCCCCUUUUGCCAUUUUUCCCACUCUAAAUUAAUCCCCUUGUGCCAUUAUUAUCCGAUAUGGCAAAAGGGGAUCAGAGGAAGGGGGAAUGGGGCAAGGGGAUUAAAAUGGAGGGGGUGGGGGGAAAUGGCGCAAGAGGAUCAGAGGGAGGGAGGAAUAAUGGCACAAGAGAUUAAGAUGGAGGGGGAGUUUGAUUAUCCCCCCUCCAUCUUAAUCCCCUUGUGCCAUUAUUCCCCCUCCAUCUUAAUCCCCCUGUGCUAUUAUUCCUCCGCCAUUUGAAUCCCCUUGUGCUAUUAUUCCCCCCUCCCUCUGAUACCCUUUUGCCAUAUUGGAUAAUAAUGGCACAAGGGGAUUAAGAUUGACGGGGAAUAAUGGCACAAGGGGAUUAAGAGGAAGGGGGGGGGGGAAUAGUGGCACGAGGGGAUUAAAAUGGAUGGGGGGGAAUAGUGGCACAAGGGGAUUAAAAUGGAGGGGGAUAAUAGCACAAGGGGA